rnacentral:sRNA from 1 species
UAUGAAAAUUCAUAACUUUUUAAGCUCUAUAAAAAAAACUUGGUUAAUUUCAUUCGCACACAUACAAAAAAACACCAAAUCUAUCCUAAUUUUUUAUUAUCCUCUAAUAAACUCUUGUUUUUCUUCUAAAUUUGAUUUUUGUGAAAUAGAUUCCAAUAAUAAUAUUUCACAAAAUUGUACAAAUUUUCCAUUUUUCUAUCCAAAUACAACCAAUAAUUCUAUCCAAAAUUCUACCAAUUAUCAUUUUCCUUAUCCAAAUCCUAAUAAUUACCAAAUUUAAAAUUCAUCUUUCAACCAAUCUUAAAAUAUCUCAAAUUAUAGUUUUCUACCAAAUUUUUCUAUGCAAUCAUUUGCUCCAAACUAUCAUAUGGAUCGAUGAUGCCAUAUUCAUCUCAACCACCUCCUGAAUUUCUUGGAUUUUCUACACAAAUGACUUUUGGAAGGAUGAGCGAUACUAAUGAAGACACUCCAAAUAAUGAUGAUUUAACUUCUACGCUCGGAAAAACCCCAAAUAGAUAACUGAGCAAAAUUUGGUGUUAUUAGGUGGAUGGAUUAAAUAUGGAAUAGACAUCAUUGUUGGCAGAAACAAAAGAGUGAAUCAUACUGGGAUAAAAUUGUUGAGUAUUGUAAUGAGCAUUGCUCAUUUGAUCCUCCACGUGAUGGAGUUUCGUGUAGAAAUCAUUUCAACUAUGUGAACAAAAUAUUAGGCAAAUAGAUUGGCACUUACGACAAUGUUAAGCGUAUGCAACAAAACGGGUGGCGGAGAAUGAUUUAUCGGCAAAAGCACAUAAAAUAUAUUCAAGUGGUAAAAAUGGGCAUUUCAAUUUUAUGUCAGAAUGGCUUGUUGUCCGUGAUCAACCACGUUAUGGUAGUCAGGUAAGGGGAAAUAUUGGGUCUGGAAGCAAUGGAUCUAAGAGAGUACACUAUAAUGAUGCAAGUGACUCAAACUCUGUAGGAUUUAGUGUUCAUCCCAUAGGAAGGGAUGCAGCUAAAGAAAAAGGGAAGGGUUCAAGCUUGGAAGUCGUUAAUGAAAAGUGGAAUGAAUUCAAGCAAUUUAAGGAGCAGGAGUUGGAACAAUUGGAAAAAUAGCCAAAAAACAUAAGGAGGCCAACCAAUUGAUGAAGAUGAAGAUGUUUUUGAAGCUAGCUGAAAAUGAGCAUCUAGAUGAUCGGAGCAAAGAGCUGUUUGAGAAGUUGAGCCAUGAACUAUUUGAAAAUUAGUGGUUGUUUAGUGUAUGUCUACACUUUGUCACUUUCUAAUUUAAUGUUUAUGUUUGUCAUGUAUGUUUCAGUAUUUUAUCACUAUGUGCAAUUAUGGUUGUUUGUCAUUUCGUGCAAUAAUAUUUGUUUGUCUGUAUUCCAUUAUUUUCCAACAAUGUAACAUAUCGAUCACUUUUGGCUUUUCAUACGAGAAUCUAAUCCUUAUCUUUUAGUUUUUCGCAUAAUCCUUAUCUUAUCCCUAUCUAUUGGAUUUCAACCACAUGAUCUUCUAAUCAAAUCCGCCUCUUAUUCUUUUCUUUCAGCCAUUCGAUUUUUUAUAAAUAGGAACUCAUUCUUACAUUGAUGAAUUACUAUCACAAAUAUCAUCUUACUAAAAUAAAAAUCCAAUGGAUCCAUCAGAAUUUCCCUUCGAUAUCGAAGCUUACAAAAGACAAUUUCAUAUCAAAGAGAGGUAUAUCAUCAACCGGUUUAGAGAGCGUCACAAAAAAAUUGAAGAAGAUUAUCCACGUCGCAAUAAAAGAACAUAUAUCAAGAGGGAUCAUGUAGCACCAAACUAAAGGUUGAUUGACAACUACUUUGCUAUUCAACCUACGUAUGAUGAUGCAAUGUUUCGACGGUGAUUCCGGAUGCGAAAACAUGUUUUUCUUCGAAUCGUUGGAGCCUUAUCAAGAAAUGACGACUACUUCACCCAACGUGUUGACGAAACAAAUAAAGAAGGUAUAUCUCCACUAGCAAAAUGUAUCACGGCCAUGCGGAUGUUAGCAUAUGGUAUGGCGUCAGACACGGUGGAUGAAUACAUCAAAAUAGGAGGUUCUACAACAUUAGAGUGCUUGCGUAGAUUCUGUAAUGGAAUCAUACAAUUGUACGAGCAAGAAUAUCUUAGAGCUUGUCGCAUCUGGUCCCCAUCUUUUUGUUUUCUACUGCGUUGAAUCCACGUAUGAUUUUUUGCUUUUUCAACACCCUCAUUGUAAGAGUUCAACAGUUAAAUAAAUUAUUCAACAUCUCCAUUGCACAUAGUUACAUAUGUCUUUUUUCUUCUCUCAUUACAUUUCCAAUGGAGAUAUUGAAUCUUUUUUUCAACAGUUGAAUACCUACAAUGGACUUGUUGAAAAAAACAAAAAGAUGAGGUGGAUUAAAAUUUAGUUGAAUUUGUUCAACAUGAAAAAAACCUAAAGUGGAGAUCAUGAGAUGUUUGUGAGCUAGUAAAAAAUUAUAUGCAUUUUUAGAUUUUUUUAUCUCUCUCCUAUUUAUUUAAAAAUCAAUUAUUUUAUACCAAACAAUUUUUUUG